AGCAGUAGCCGCGGUAAUACGGAGGGUGCAAGCGUUAAUCGGAAUUACUGGGCGUAAAGCGCACGCAGGCGGUCUGUUAAGUCAGAUGUGAAAUCCCCGGGCUCAACCCGGGAACUGCAUUUGAAACUGGCAGGCUUGAGUCUUGUAGAGGGGGGUAGAAUUCCAGGUGUAGCGGUGAAAUGCGUAGAGAUCUGGAGGAAUACCGGUGGCGAAGGCGGCCCCCUGGACAAAGACUGACGCUCAGGUGCGAAAGCGUGGGGAGCAAACAGGAUUAGAUACCCGAGUAGUCCCUGUCUCUUAUAC
rnacentral:rRNA from 1 species